UAGUCCACGCCGUAAACGAUGUUCACUGGUUGCUAGCGAUAUAUUGUUAGUGACUGAGCGAAAGUAUUAAGUGAACCACCUGGGGAGUACGUUCGCAAGAAUGAAACUCAAAGGAAUUGACGGGGGCCCGCACAAGCGGAGGAACAUGUGGUUUAAUUCGAUGAUACGCGAGGAACCUUACCUGGGCUCAAACGUAGAUUGACGGGACUAGAGAUAGUUUUUUCUUCGGACAAUUUACGAGGUGCUGCAUGGUUGUCGUCAGCUCGUGCCGUGAGGUGUCGGGUUAAGUCCCAUAACGAGCGCAACCCCUAUCUUUAGUUGCCAGCGGGUUAAGCCGGGGACUCUAAAGAGACUGCCACCGUAAGGUGAGAGGAAGGUGGGGAUGACGUCAAAUCAGCACGGGCCCUUACGUCCAGGGGCUACACACGUGUUACAAUGGUCGGUACAAAGGGGCAGCUACAUGGGCAACAUGAUGCUAAUCUCUAAAGCCGGGUCACAGUUCGGGAUUGGGAGUCUGCAACUCGACUC
rnacentral:rRNA from 1 species